rnacentral:rRNA from 1 species
UCGGACUGCAGUCUGCAACUCGACUGCACGAAGUCGGAAUUGCUAGUAAUCGCGGAUCAGCAUGCCGCGGUGAAUACGUUCCCGGGCCUUGUACACACCGCCCGUCACACCAUGAGAGUCGGGAACACCCGAAGUCGGUAGUCUAACCUCGUGAGGACGCCGCCGAAGGUGGGCUUGAUAAUUGGGGUGAAGUCGUAACAAGGUACC